AAAUUAAUUAGUAUUGUAUACACCUAGAAAUUCUUUUAACAGGUUUCCUACCUUAAAUGUAGAGAGACCUCUUCUCUCUUAGGUUUUCUUUAAUUACGUUUUUUAUCAACAAAUCAUGCUUAUUUCAAUAAUACCAACUUUGUUUGCGAGAUGCAUAUAUAAUACGGAAACGGGGCGUAUGCAAUAAUAAUUAACACAGUA